rnacentral:rRNA from 1 species
CCUACGGGAGGCAGCAGUGGGGAAUAUUGGGCAAUGGAGGAAACUCUGACCCAGCGACGCCGCGUGCGGGAUGAAGGCCUUCGGGUUGUAAACCGCUUUCAGUAGGGAAGAAGCGAAAGUGACGGUACCUACAAAAGAAGCACCGGCUAACUAUGUGCCAGCAGCCGCGGUAAUACAUAGGGUGCAAGCGUUGUCCGGAAUUAUUGGGCGUAAAGAGCUCGUAGGUCGUUUGUUACGUCGGAUGUGAAAACCUGAGGCUCAACCUCAGGCCUGCAUUCGAUACGGGCAAACUAGAGUUUGGUAGGGGAGACUGGAAUUCCUGGUGUAGCGGUGGAAUGCGCAGAUAUCAGGAGGAACACCAAUGGCGAAGGCAGGUCUCUGGGCCAAUACUGACACUGAGGAGCGAAAGUCUGGGGAGCGAACAGGAUUAGAUACCCUGGUAGUCCAGACCGUAAACGGUGGGCACUAGUUGUGGGAACCUUCCACGGUUUCUGCGACGCCGCUAACGCAUUAAGUGCCCCGCCUGGGGAGUACGANCGCAGAUAACUACAGAUAGAGCGNGAGAGNGCGACGACGACGACGAGGAGAGG